rnacentral:rRNA from 1 species
AUGAACGCUAGCGACAGGCCUAACACAUGCAAGUCAGGGGCAGCACAAGGAGCAAUCUGAGGUGGCGACCGGCGCACGGGUGAGUAACACGUAUGCAACCUGCCUGUAAGCGGGGAAUAACCCGUUGAAAGACGGACUAAUACCGCAUAAUACUAAAUUACUGCAUGGUAAUUUAUUUAAACAUUUAUGGCUUACAGAUGGGCAUGCGCAUGAUUAGCUAGUUGGAGGGGUAACGGCUCCCCAAGGCAACGAUCAUUAGGGGUUCUGAGAGGAAGGUCCCCCACACUGGUACUGAGACACGGACCAGACUCCUACGGGAGGCAGCAGUGAGGAAUAUUGGUCAAUGGACGAGAGUCUGAACCAGCCAAGUCGCGUGCAGGAAGAAUGUCCUUAAUGGAUUGUAAACUGCUUUUGCAGGGGAAUAAAGUGCAUCACGUGUGAUGUUUUGUAUGUACUCUGCGAAUAAGGAUCGGCUAACUCCGUGCCAGCCGCAGC